GGUGAACGCUGGCGGUGGGCCUAACACAUGCAAGUCGAGCGGCAGCACAGGAAGAUUGCGCCCCUACCGUUGGCGACGGGCGGGCGGGUGAGGAGUGCAUAGGCUACUUCUUUGACUGGGAUGAUUUCGGGAGACAGGUGAUGCUACUAGCGCAUAUGUUGAACCGCAGGGAUCAGUGGUGAUAGACGGCUUGGCCGUCUGAUAUAGCUGAAUCCGGGUCGCAUUAGCUAGUUGGUAAGGUAACGGCUUACCAAGGCAACGAUGCGUAGCCGAUCUGAGAGGGUGAUCGGCCACACUGGAACUGAGACACGGUCCAGACUCCUACGGGAGGCAGCAGUGGGGAAUAUUGGACAAUGGGCGAAAGCCCGAUCCAGCAAUGCCGCGUGAGUGAAGAAGGCCUUCGGGUUGUAAAGCCCUUUUGUUGGGAAAGAAAAGCAGCAGGUUAAUCCACCGCUGUUCUGACGGUACCCAAAGAAUAAGCAACGGCUAACUUCGUG
rnacentral:rRNA from 1 species